rnacentral:rRNA from 1 species
UUUGGCUCAGGAUGAACGCUGGCGGCGUGCCUAACACAUGCAAGUCGAACGGAACUAUUUUGACAGAUUUCUUCGGAAUGAUGGAUUUUUAGUUUAGUGGCGGACGGGUGAGUAACGCGUGAGUAACCUGCCUCUAAGAGGGGAAUAACGUUCUGAAAAGAUCGCUAAUACCGCAUAACAUAUUGAAGCCGCAUGACUUUGAUAUCAAAGAUUUAUCGCUUAGAGAUGGACUCGCGUCCGAUUAGCUUGUUGGCGGGGUAACGGCCCACCAAGGCGACGAUCGGUAGCCGGACUGAGAGGUUGAACGGCCACAUUGGGACUGAGACACGGCCCAGACUCCUACGGGAGGCAGCAGUGGGGAAUA